rnacentral:rRNA from 1 species
AUUAAAUUAAUUAUUUAUAUAUUUAUUAAAUAAAAUAUUAUUUAUUUUUAUUAUUAAAAAAGAAAAAAUUAAUUUAAAUUAUAGUUAAAAGUAUUGUGAAAGAAAUUUGAAAUAAUUGAAAAGUUAAAUUUUUAAAAGAAUAAUUUAAUUUUAGUACCUUGUGUAUCAGGGUUUAUUAAAAAUUUUUUAUAUAAUUUAAAUUUCUCGAUUUUAAAAGAGUUAAAUAUUUAUUUUUUUUAAUGUUAAAUAAUUAUUAUAAAUAAAUAUUUAGUAAUGAAACGUUAUUCGUUUUUAAAUAUAUCUAGUUUCUUAAGAAAUAAAUUUAAUUUAUUUAUUAAUAAAAAUAAUUUUUAUUUAAAAAUUUUAUUUUAUUAAUAUUAAAUAUUUUAAGGGAUAAGCUUUAAAAUAAAUUUAUAUAAUAUUUAAAUUUAUAAAUUAAUAGUAGGAUUAAAAAUUUCUUUCAUUAAUAAUUUGUUAUAAUUAAUUUUUUAUUUAUAUUUUUUAUAUAAUAUUUAUAUUUUUUAUUAAGAUUAUUUAAUAAAUUUUAUUUUAAAUGUAAUAAUGAUAAAAUUAGUAUAAUUUAUUGUAUAAUUUUUUAAUUAUAUAAGGUUAAAUUAAGGAAUUCGGCAAAAUAAUUUUUCGCCUGUUUAAUAAAAACAUGUCUUUUUGAUUAUAAUUUAAAGUCUAACCUGCCCAAUGAAAAUUAAAUGGCCGCGGUAUUUUGACCGUGCAAAGGUAGCAUAAUCAUUAGUUUUUUAAUUAAAAGCUGGAAUGAAUGGUUGGACGAGAAAAUUACUGUCUCAAUUUAAUUUUAUUAGAAUUUUAUUUUUAAGUUAAAAAGCUUAAAUAAAUUUAAAAGACGAGAAGACCCUAUAGAGUUUAAUAUUAUAUAAAAUUUUAAUUUUUAUAAAUUUUUUAAUUUUUUAUAAUAUUUUAUUGGGGUGAUAAAUAAAUUUAUAAAACUUUAUUUUAUUUUUAACAUAAAUUAAUGAUUUAUUGAUCCAUUAUUAAUGAUUAUAAGAUUAAAUUACCUUAGGGAUAACAGCGUAAUUUUUUUAGAGAGUUCAAAUCGAAAAAAAAGAUUGCGACCUCGAUGUUGGAUUAAAGUAAAUUUUUGGUGUAGAAGCUAAAAUAUUAAGUCUGUUCGACUUUUAAAACUUUACAUGAUCUGAGUUUAAACCGGCGUGAGCCAGGUUGGUUUCUAUCUUUAAAUAAAUAAAAUAUUUUAGUACGAAAGGACCAAAUAUUUAUAAUAAUUAUUUUUUUUUGAAUAUUAAU